UACGGAGGGUGCAAGCGUUAUCCGGAAUCAUUGGGUUUAAAGGGUCCGCAGGCGGUCUUAUAAGUCAGUGGUGAAAGCCUACAGCUCAACUGUAGAACUGCCAUUAAUACUGUAAGACUUGAAUUCGAUCGAAGUGGGCGGAAUAUGACAUGUAGCGGUGAAAUGCUUAGAUAUGUCAUAGAACACCGAUAGCGAAGGCAGCUCACUAGGUCGGGAUUGACGCUCAGGGACGAAAGCGUGGGGAGCAAACAGG
rnacentral:rRNA from 1 species